rnacentral:rRNA from 1 species
AACGAACGCUGGCGGCAUGCCUAACACAUGCAAGUCGAACGAGACCUUCGGGUCUAGUGUCGCACGGGUGCGUAACGCGUAGGAACCUGCCCUUAGGUUCGGAAUAACUCCCCGAAAGGGGUGCUAAUACCGGAUAAUGUCUUCGGACCAAAGAUUUAUCGGCGUUGGAUGGGCCCGCGUUGGAUUAGCUAGUUGGUAGGGUAAAAGCCUCCCAAGGCGACGAUCCAUAGCUGGUCUGAGAGGAUGAUCAGCCACACUGGGACUGAGACACGGCCCAGACUCCUACGGGAGGCAGCAGUGGGGAAUAUUGGACAAUGGGCGAAAGCCUGAUCCAGCAAUGCCGCGUGAGUGAUGAAGGCCUUAGGGUUGUAAAGCUCUUUUAACCGGGAUGAUAAUGACAGUACCGGGAGAAUAAGCUCCGGCUAACUCCGUG